rnacentral:rRNA from 1 species
AUUGAACGCUGGCGGCAGGCCUAACACAUGCAGGUCGAGCGGAUGAAGGGAGCUUGCUCCUGGAUUCAGCGGCGGACGGGUGAGUAAUGCCUAGGAAUCUGCCUGGUAGUGGGGGAUAACGUACGGAAACGGGCGCUAAUACAGCAUACGUCCAGAGGGAGAAAGUGGGGGAUCUUCGGACAUCACGCUAUCAGCUGAGCCUAGGUCGGAUUAGCUAGUUGGUGGGGUAAAGGCCUACCAAGGCGACGAUCCGUAACUGGUCUGAGAGGAUGAUCAGUCACACUGGAACUGAGACACGGUCCAGACUCCUACGGGAGGCAGCAGUGGGGAAUAUUGGACAAUGGGCGAAAGCCUGAUCCAGCCAUGCCGCGUGUGUGAAGAAGGUCUUCGGAUUGUAAAGCACUUUAAGUUGGGAGGAAGGGCAGUAAGUGAAUACCUUGCUGUUUUGACGUUACCAACAGAAUAAGCACCGGCUAACUUCGUG